rnacentral:rRNA from 1 species
UACGUAGGGGGCUAGCGUUAUCCGGAAUUACUGGGCGUAAAGGGUGCGUAGGUGGUUUCUUAAGUCAGAGGUGAAGGGCUACGGCUCAACCGUAGUAAGCCUUUGAAACUGGGAAACUUGAGUGCAGGAGAGGAGAGUGGAAUUCCUAGUGUAGCGGUGAAAUGCGUAGAGAUUAGGAAGAACACCAGUGGCGAAGGCGAUUCUCUGGGCCAUUACUGACGCUGAGGAGCGAAAGCGUGGGGAGCAAACAGGAUUAGAUACCCCUGUAGUUCCUGAGCGGG